rnacentral:rRNA from 1 species
CAGCAGCCACGGGAACACGGAGGGCGCGAGCGUUACCCGGAUUUACUGGGCGUAAAGGGCGUGUAGGCGGCCUGGGGCGUCCCAUGUGAAAGGCCACGGCUCAACCGUGGAGGAGCGUGGGAUACGCUCAGGCUAGAGGGUGGGAGAGGGUGGUGGAAUUCCCGGAGUAGCGGUGAAAUGCGCAGAUACCGGGAGGAACGCCGAUGGCGAAGGCAGCCACCUGGUCCACUUCUGACGCUGAGGCGCGAAAGCGUGGGGAGCAAACCGGAUUAGAGACCCCAGUAGUCCCUGUCUCUUAUAC